AGCGAACGCUGGCGGCAGGCUUAACACAUGCAAGUCGAACGGUCCUUCGGGAUAGUGGCGGACGGGUGAGUAACACGUGGGAACGUACCCUUAGGUCCGGAACAACACAGGGAAACUUGUGCUAAUACCGGAUAAGCCCUUCGGGGGAAAGAUUUAUCGCCUUUGGAGCGGCCCGCGUCUGAUUAGCUUGUUGGUGAGGUAAUGGCUCACCAAGGCUACGAUCAGUAGCUGGUCUGAGAGGAUGGCCAGCCACACUGGGACUGAGACACGGCCCAGACUCCGACGGGAGGCAGCAGUGGGGAAUCUUGCGCAAUGGGCGAAAGCCUGACGCAGCCAUGCCGCGUGGAUGAUGAAGGUCUUAGGAUUGUAAAAUCCUUUCACCGGGGACGAUAAUGACGGUACCCGGAGAAGAAGCCCCGGCUAACUUCGUGCCAGCCGCCGCGGUAA
rnacentral:rRNA from 1 species